rnacentral:lncRNA from 1 species
UUUCCCCUUAUUUUUCUUUUUCUCUCCCCUUUCUUCUUGCUCUUUCUUUUCCUUUUCCUCUCCCGUCGUCGCUGGAAAUCGACCACCGGCGGCGUCCAACCUCCAAACCACCCUAAAAUUUCAUCCUUUCAUCCUCUCAACCUCCUUUCCAUGAAUCCAAACCCCAAAUAUUUUAAAUCCCUCUCAAUCCCCAUAGAGCUAGGCCAAAUUCGAAACCCUAGGCGUCGCUUACCACCCCAAACUUAAAAAAUUUCACACCACUGGCUUCCUCUCAUUCUCCUCUUCUCCAUUCAUGCUCAAAACCUUCAAACCCCUCGAGAAUCUGGCUAAAAUUCGGUUGCAUUCAGGCAGAAACCUUCACUGCUGUCCUCCAACCACGAACCUCUAUUAUUGCUAUUUUCGACUCAAAGACCUUCAUUUCUUUUGGAAAGACGCUGAAACCCCCUUUGUCUUAGCGCUUUCCCGAAAUAAAAGUGCGUUUCGGAGUCAGACAACCACAUUUUGGAAUCUUCAGUGUCUUCUCGCGACUCGAAUAACUUCAAGCACGCUCGUUAGGUAUCUCCGUCAUCUCUACUUAAUUUCUGAUUUUUCGAUGGGUUAUCCAGAUUUUUAGUUUAGUUUCUGAUUUUUCUUUCUUUUUUUGUUUAUUUCUUGUUAAUCAAAGUCUCAGUUUAGGUUUAUUUAAUUAGUUAUCUCUAUUUAGUUUAGUUGUUUACUACUGAUCAAGCGGGAUAUUGGUGUAUUAGCAAAAAUGUUUACUUAGUUAAUCAAUUGUUUAGUUGUUGAAUGUCAUCGUUCCGAUUGUUUACAAUGCUCGUUUAAUUUCUGUAUUGAGCAGUAGUUUGUGAAUACAAUUGUUUUCUAUGCCAGUUUGUACAAAUCAAAUCAAUUUCAAUCUAGCUUGUCUGAAGACUUAGUUCGAUUGCAUCUUGAGUCUUGUUUCCACUUGGCUAGUUCAUAUUUGAUUGGAGUUUGAGUGUAUAAGCUAUAUUUCAAUCAUGUAAAGAUAAAAGCUGAAUACUUGAGUUUAAAGUACGGGUUGUUUGGCAUUUUACUGUUUAAGCAUGCUGAAAAUGCAACUGCUCUGCUUUGUGUCGAAAUUUGGUGAAAAAAUAGCUGUUUUGGCAGACAAAAUUAGUCUUUUUGGACAGAUUUUUGGUGAAUCAAAAUAUCUCCAAGAUGGCUUAUUUUUCCUACUUAAAGAGGUGAUUCUUUCACACUAAGAAGACACUCUAUCUUAUAGGAAGAGAUCAUCUCUCACUCUCUAAAAAUAGAUAUCUUUGAGAGAAAAAAUCCAGCAGCUUAAUAUAGAUAGCAAGCUGAAAUUUCAAAUUUUGGUGAGUAUUAUUUGAAUGCAACAACUCUGACAAAAACUAGAAAGAUCCAUUAGGCAAUGUGUGAAGUUGAUAGCUACAAGUUUCAAGCAUCUUUGUUGAGUUUUCUGGAUUGUCUUAACACUUGAUUUGUUGUUACUUCUACUGUAUUUGCUGCUGAAUUUCUAUUGUUGCACUGCUGUAUUUUAUCAUUCUGCAAACCAGGUAACUUUCAAAUUCUUAUAUUGCAGAUUCUUGAUGGCAAUAAGAAGCAUUUGAUCCCGAUUUGGUUGGUGGAGCAUGCUAGAUUUGAUUUUCUUUCAAGAUGAAUAUCAUAUUGCUGUUAUCAUCAUGUAAAUAUGUUAGAAAUUAGUUAAAUUAUUGUCUUCUUCUUUAUAUACAUGGUUGAAAUUGCAUUUUGUUUACUUAAUUUAAGGAAAAGAUAAAGACUUCAUUUUUUAGCUAUGUUUAUUUUGUUUGGGAUCUUUUAUGUGAGUUACUUUUAAGGUUAAUGUAUAAUCACCUAGGAAAGACUUCUAGCUUCAAAGGUGUUGAUGCUUUACAUUAUAGUCAACACAGAUGUUAUAAUGUGAUUGUUCUCUUUAGCAUUACAGUAUUACCGUUUUUUGUAGUUUUUAACGAUUCGUAAUUAUGAAAGUGGAUUCAAAUACGUAGGGUGUUUACAUUACUAAUGAGUUUGUAGUAUGUUUAGUGUCACGUUGGUAUAAAUGAGAAG